rnacentral:tRNA from 9 species
AGAAAUUUAGGUUAACAAGACCAAGAGCCUUCAAAGCUCUAAGCAAGUAAUUUUACUUAAUUUCUG